rnacentral:lncRNA from 1 species
UCAAAUUCUUUAACAGCAACUUCGAGGAAGACGGAUAUUUCAUGAUGGCUUCCGCAGUGAUAUAAGUUCCUCUAUCUCAUUACAUUUUUUAUUUUAUUUUUUCCUUCUGGCAGUGGAAUCAGAUGGACAGAGAAGUACGAGACUCAUACUACUUCAACUGGCCGGUCUACUUUCCUUAGACUUCCAGGCGCUCUUAUUGUUUCUGAACUUCCCCUAAAGAAUCGACUAUUCCAAUUCUCUCUCGCCCCCUCUUCCCAGUCACAUGCCCUUCCCCCUAAGAAAAUUGAAGUAAAACUUUGUGGCUUGGAACAUCUCUUGAUAUUUGGAUAUUCGGUGCUCUUAUUUUAUAUUGUUGUCUGUCAGAAUUCGUUUGAGUCGUGGCAUACGUACCCAUUUAAUUAGGGAGGCUCAGUUUCAAAAUUUGGUUGCAAACCACCUUUUCCCCCGCCCCGAUUCCUGAUCUUGUUGGGGCUGACAGUAAGCCGUAAGGCUAUUGACGAAGUGCCUGUGCCACCCCUAGAGAGUAUUCCAAAUGUAAAAUCUGUGAACGUUAUAUGCCACCUGAUCAGGCAAAAUACAGGAUUUCAUCCGACAACAUUUGUUAUCACUGACUUGAACAAGAAACAACACACUAUGAUGAAUUAAUUCAGAAAUUUUCAAUUAGGAU